AUGAGUAAAGUCGAAGAUCCGAUUAUUAGGAGAUUGGAUGGAGGGAGAGGCCCUCGCAACGGUCCUUAUAUGCCCCCACAGCCCUGUUAGGAACAGGAGGAAAGUCUUGUCCUAACAUAAGCUGAAAUUGAUUGUGUCGGGAAUAGGAGGAGAACUUCGUCCUGACACAAAUGAAGACCUGAUCGUUUAAGAUCGGAUGAGGAGAAAAACCUCCUCAACGGUUCCUCUACACCCCUACAACUCCAUUAGGAGCAGAGAAAAAAUCCUCGCCCAAACAUAAGAAAAAAAAGAGGAGAGAAAAAAAGAGAGAGUGAUGAACUACGCCAG
rnacentral:lncRNA from 1 species